AACGAACGCUGGCGGCAGGCCUAACACAUGCAAGUCGAGCGGACCCUUCGGGGUUAGCGGCGGUCGGGUGAUUAACGCGUGGUAAUAUGCCCUUCUCUACCGAAUCGUCCUGUUAAACUGGGGUUAAUACCGUAUACGCCCUUUGGGGGUAAGAUUUAUGGGGGCAGGAUUGGCCCGCGUUGGAUUAGGUAGUUGGUGGGGUAAUGGCCUACCAAGGCGUCGAUCCAUGGCUGGUUGGUGAAGAUGACCAACCAGACUGGAAAUGAGACACGGACCAGCCUCGUACGGAAGGCAGGAGUAGGGAAUAUUAGACAAUGGAGGCAAACCUGAUAUAGCCAUGCCGCGGGAGUGAUGAAGGCCUUAGGGUUGUAAAGCUGUUUCAGCUGGGAAGAUAAUGACGGUACCAGCAGAAGAAGCCCCGGCUAACUACGUG
rnacentral:rRNA from 1 species